CUCCUCCCAAUCUCCUCGCUGCCGCCGCCACCUCCUCCCCGUCCCGGCCCCUCCCGAUCCACCUCCUCCCCGUCCUCUCCCACCCACCGCCGACCUCGCCGUCCUCCUCGACCACGCCUCGCCGGAGAGAGAGAGAGGCGUCGCCCCCAGCGACUACGGCUGUUCCCCCUCCUCCCUCCUCCUUCACGCCUCACCCGCGCCGCGCCGCCCCGGCGCGCUGCUGCUAUUUAUUCCCUCCAAAUCGCCAUUGCCCACAGCAGCAAGGAAUCAAGAUCCAAUCCCGUCCCCUCCCAUCCAAUCCUCCCCCGCGGCAACAGAGAUCCAGCCAGAUCCGCCUAGUUCCAUGGCGACCGCCGGCAACGCCCCCGCUCCCGCAAGCGCAUCGAGGCCAUCGUCCUCAAGCACGCGCGCGACGGAAGUGCCUUCACCAGCUGCGAGGUGUGCAACAAGGACGUAGCCAUCGUCCUCAUCGACCUGCACAGCUGCAGCCUCCACUCCAAGAUACGCCUCAGCCUCGGUGCAUCUCAGAUCCUCACCUAUUCCAAUGCAUCUUCGGUUUGGGCGGCCGGGCGGCAUGAGAAGACCAUGAGCCGGAGGCUGGAGCAGAUCUGGAGUUUAAUUUUUCAUAGUCCGGUUGUAAUAAUUUUCAACUUAUAGUCGGGUUGCUCUGCUCUCAGUCACUUUGUAGUUUUCUGAAUGUUCUCAUGUUGAUUCUAUCUUCCACCUGGCUCAAACAUUAGAGCAGCCUACUCGUUUUUAGGAGGAGUGGUAGUAUUUGUUAGUUUUUCUUGGAGGACAGUAAGAUCAUGCUUUGAUCUUGUAUGCUACUAUGGUUAUUUUGUAGGUAGUAUUUGCCAAAGGUUGGAGGUCAACGGUUGUCACAAGCCUACAAGAGAAUAUAUUGACAGAGAGUGUAAUGGUGUAAAGCCACCCAAUAAUUUCGUCGAAGUUGAUCCCUAGACCGCGUGGGCGUACAGACCACAGACCAUCUCGUUGUUACUGAUGGGAACGUGCUUUUUAAUGUGAGCUGCUGCUGGAUCUCUUUUACCUGUGGAGUUAUUUUUAGUUUUGCUACAGAGAUUCUUACAACAAUGAUGUUAGUAAUGCACCGCUAAUGGUUGACCUACUAUGGCAUUUUACAAUUGAUAAGAUCACAAGCGGGAAAAAGAGUAAAGAAUUGUGAUGCAUGUUUACCAUGCAACUAUUUUUUAGUUCUUUAUCAGUUGGGCAAGUGGCGCGCUUUUCCCGAAGGAAGGUUCUCUGCUGACCGUGUCUCAUCUAUAAAAAGAAAAAUAACCGUUUCUUGAUCACCAACUGAACAUCUCUGAUAGAACAUAUCGUCAACUGGGAUAAUUGUCAUUCACAGGGUGUAUUUGUGAUGAUUGUUGUUUUCUUGGCUUAUUCUUUUCUUCAAGAACCUUCAAAAUCAUUCGGUGGUGGUGACCCAUAUGAUGGCGAUUUGCUCCGGCCAUUCCAAUUCUGGCGGUGGUGCUGCUCCUAUGAUGGUAGACAUGUCUGCCUCCCCUAGCUGCCACCGUGGUGAUGAAGCUCGGCCUAGGCUACAACCCCCUUCGAUGAUUGAUGAGCUGAUCUUCUUCCACCAGUGGUAGCGGGAGUGAUGCUGGAGCAGUACAUCGAUCAGUAGAUCAUCCUGCCAUUUGGGCAGGGAGAAGCUGGGACGGCCCUAAUGCGGUAACAUCACCAUGUGGCAAACCAGUAGAUGGACACAACAUUGGUGCCUGGGUGAUGGGACAAAGUACGUGUACCAGUGAUGGUGCACGAUAUUCGUGCUUCUCAUUGAUGUGAUGUGUUAUCAGCUAAAAUUUGUGCUUCUCGUCCAGUCUAUGUUGAUGUGCGCUUGUGCACUUGUUGGGCCUUUUUGUUGUGCACUUGCACUUGCACUUGUAGAACUAUUUUGUUGUGCACUUGUUGGGCCUUGAACCUUGCUGUGUAGAGGAGUCGAUUGAUGAUGUAUUGUAUUUCAUGUGGAGGAGUCGAUUGAUGAUGUAUUGUAUUUCAUGUGAUGUGCUGCUGAAAUGAAAUAUACAGUCUAUCUGAA